CCAUUAAAAACAAUGAACUGGCUUGAACAAUACAGAGAAGAUUAACCUGGCCCCUUUUCAAGGAUGAUAUGCAAAUUUGCAAAGCAUUCCAUUUAAAA
ensembl:snRNA U6 U6 spliceosomal RNA